GAAAUGCGAUAAGUAGUGUGAAUUGCAGAAUUCAGUGAAUCAUCGAAUCUUUGAACGCACAUUGCGCCCCUCGGUAUUCCGUGGGGCAUGCCUGUUCGAGCGUCAUCUACACCCUCAAGCUCUGCUUGGUGUUGGGCGUCUGUCCCGCCUCCUUCGCGCGCGGACUCGCCCCAAUCCAUUGGCGGCGGCCCUUGCCUCCCUCUCGCGCAGCACAUUGCGCUUCUCGAGGCGCGGCGGACCGCGUCCAGCAAGCAACCGUCACACCGUCUUUGACCUCGGAUCAGGUAGGGAUACCCGCUGAACUUAAGC
rnacentral:misc_RNA from 1 species